rnacentral:rRNA from 1 species
AUUGAACGCUGGCGGCAGGCCUAACACAUGCAAGUCGAGCGAGCGGCGGACGGGUGAGUAAUGUAUGGGGACUGCCCGAUAGAGGGGGAUAAAUACUGGAAACGGUGGGUAAUACCGCAUACUAUCGGAUAACCCAGAUGGGAUUAGCUAGUAGGUAAGGGAAUGGCUUACCUAGGCGACGAUCCCUAGCUGGUCUGAGAGGAUUAUCAGCCACACGGGGACUGAGACCCGGCCCAGACUCCUACGGAGGCAGCAGUGGGGAAUAUUGCACAAUGGGCGCAAGCCUGAUGCCGCCAUGCCGCGUGUAUGAAGAAGGCCCUAGGGUUGUAAAGUACUUUCAGUCGGGAGGCGUUACCGACAGAAGAAGCACCGGCUAACUCCGUGCCAGCAGCCGCGGUAAUAC